rnacentral:lncRNA from 1 species
UUAGGCAUCUCCUUUAGAGCUUCUGUAAUUUCUUCCAAUGUUACCUCUUGAAUUAGCAUUUUUUGUUGUGAUAAAGUUAGACAUUGUCCUUCCUUCAUAACAGCAGUAUUGAUACAAGGUCGUUCAUCAACACAUUCUCCCAUCAAUGAUUUGAACACCUUAAUAAAUUCUUGUUCCACAGCUGAUGGAUUUGUUAGUUUUAUACCUG